UUGUGGCCACAUGACAUUGAAACACUGGUUCCCAUACAAUCACCAAAGUUAAGCAACAUCUAGCCUAGUCAGUACUUAGAUGGGUGACUGCUUUGGAAUACUAGGUACUGUAAG